CACGGACCAAGGACAUGUAUGUCUAUCUGGAAUUAUGAGGUUCUAGGCUUGGCUGUGUGAAGAUCAAAGCAGAGGAAGCCACACAAUGCAGAGAAUCAACAGUGGAGCUAUGCCUAGUGAGAAGCAAAGAGACACUGGAUGGCCUGAGAGGGAAAGAGACUGAGAAAAGCUGUCAGCUUUUAGUUCCUGGUUCCAGUCCUUUGUGACGGCCAGCUUGAUUAGAGGUUUAUAACAGUUCACUACUUCAUCUACAUCCUCAAGCCAACACCUAUGAAAAAGAUAAUGGUGUCCGAUGACAGGCCUCUGCUAACAGUGUAAGGCUAUCUGUGAACUCCUCAGUCUACACAUAUCUUCCUCAGCCUCUGGGAUUCCAUUUCCACCCAAGAAUUAAAUUGAUAGAAAGAAAAACAGCAAAAUAUACACAUAUUUUUCCACUAUUAAAUCCAAUAAUGAUGACUUAAUUUCAGCAAAACAUCAUCAAUCGCA
rnacentral:lncRNA from 1 species